GGCCUUCUAUCUGGCUGAGUACUACUCGGCCAUUUUAACCGCGAUUUGAUCCGCCUCCCUAUCCUCCCCCCUAAUAAACUCGGGCCCCUGGCUUCCGUUUCCCCAGAUCCAUUGCAUUUGGAAAAUGCGGUGUUCAGAGUUGGUAUCUUGGUUGGCUCCCCUAUCCCCUAUACUUUUCCAGUUAUGACAACCAAUGCUUAUCUGAGGAGAGGCUGGGGAACUGGAAUCCAAGCCUCCAACUGGCAAAUCCACUCUACCCACAACUAACCACCUCAGGCAACAAGAUCGUUCAAGUGCAUUCCCACCUUUUCCUGACUAUGAAAUAUUCGAAGCAGAUUCGACAAUUUUCUUUCUGUCUUGCUUUUCUUUUUUAUGCGGCAAUAAGUCAAGCGCCAACAAGGGAGCUGGAGGUUAAAUGCAGGAUAACUCAGACGGUUUAUCUCCAGUUCUGAGACGCCAAAACUGAUUUAUUGACCUUGUGGUGGGGGAGGUAUUUGCUUCGAAAAGAUGACCUAGUGAGAGUGUCUUUGCUGUAUUUGUAUUCAUAACUAUCUCCUUUGUAGGAAAUGUGGCAACGCAUGGCUACAAUUGAUGUUUCCAUAAUCUGGAAUCGGAGCAUCGGGGUCCCCGUCGGUGUGCGCAGAUAGUCCAGUACAUGUCCGGCAUAAGCUUUGGCAAGGUCGUUUCAUUUUCGUAUAUCUCUUCAUUUGGCUGAAUUAUAUUCAUUUUUCCGUUACUUCCAGCUGUCUAGCUAAUUGUUGUCAUGAUCGUCG
rnacentral:sRNA from 2 species